rnacentral:rRNA from 1 species
UAGGGAAUCUUCCGCAAUGGGCGAAAGCCUGACGGAGCAACGCCGCGUGAGUGAUGAAGGUCUUCGGAUCGUAAAACUCUGUUAUUAGGGAAGAACAAAUGUGUAAGUAACUAUGCACGUCUUGACGGUACCUAAUCAGAAAGCCACGGCUAACUACGUGCCAGCAGCCGCGGUAAUACGUAGGUGGCAAGCGUUAUCCGGAAUUAUUGGGCGUAAAGCGCGCGUAGGCGGUUUUUUAAGUCUGAUGUGAAAGCCCACGGCUCAACCGUGGAGGGUCAUUGGAAACUGGAAAACUUGAGUGCAGAAGAGGAAAGUGGAAUUCCAGGGGGAGCGGUGAAAUGCGCAGAGAUAUGGAGGAACACCAGGGGCGAAGGCGACUUUCUGGUCUGUAACUGACGCUGAUGUGCGAAGGCGUGGGGAUCAAACAGG